rnacentral:rRNA from 1 species
UACGUAGGGGGCAAGCGUUGUUCGGAUUCAUUGGGCGUAAAGGGUGCGUAGGCGGCGCCGUAAGUCAGGUGUGAAAUCUCGGGGCUCAACCCCGAAACUGCACUUGAUACUGCGGUGCUAGAGGACUCGAGAGGAGAUUGGAAUUCACGGUGUAGCAGUGAAAUGCGUAGAUAUCGUGAGGAAGACCAGUGGCGAAGGCGGAUCUCUGGAGAGUUCCUGACGCUGAGGCACGAAGGCCAGGGGAGCAAACGGG